UAGGAAACUACGUAACUUCUUGGCUGAGUCCUGUAGGUUUUUUAUCUUCUGACUCUGCAGUGGAUAACACAUGCCUUCAGGUGCUCAGGGUCCAGAAGUCAAUCAACAAGACCUGAAAAUUACAGCAAAGGAGGUAAACAGUCUUGCCCCGCUGUGCUUAAGGCAGAAAGUUUGGCUAGCUGUGAAAAAAGAGUUGCCUUUCUACAUUUUCUGGUUUUGAGUGUCAGAGCAUGUAAAUCAAAGCCUUGUGGAUAUUCUCAAAUACCUUUCUCCUCUGCUUGCCUGAAGAGCCCAGGGUGGGUACUGGCUACAGUUCACAUGGACAGUAAAAGCUCAGCCCCUGCUGAAGCUUUAGGAGCACUUAGUCUGUACUUCUCCUGAGACAGUGAACUCCAGAAGUUCAACGUUCCCCACAAAUCCCUAAAUUGGUGGAGAGAAGUCUUCAAAUCCAGGCCAGUGGGUGAUGGUAAACACACCGAAAUAGAAGCUGAGCAGCAGGUGUUGGUGUAUCUUAAAUUAGAAAAUUGAGAUUUAUUUGCUCAUAGUCUUAGCUUAGAACAGCUUGUUUACUGUUUCUUUUAGGACUUAUAUAUAGUUUCAGGUGCUUGUUUCAGCAAUGAACAAAAACUCUUAAUGGUGGAUCUUCUUAGGUAGCAUUUUGAAAUAACCAUGGCUCAGUGAUAAGCCAACAAAUUUUUAGCCUAAUAGGCUCAACACUUAGAAUAACUGAAUUGCAAGGGACUAACUUAUCUGGCAGAGGGCAAACAUUCCUACCUGGAAUCUGCAUUUUCUAGCUGCAUGCCAUGCCUCUUUUAAUUUUCUGAAUAGGUCAUCUAUCAUAUGGAUGAAAUUCUGGACGUUCACAAUGGAAUGCAAUGACGUCUCUUUGUCCUUGUCCUCACAGGAUGGAAGAAUGUCAUUCCAUGUUUUGGAUGGGCCGUGGUGCCUGCCUUUGUAAAGGCCAGGGUGCCUAGAGGAAGAAGGGUUACGGCCUCCCCUCUUCCUGGGUUAAGAAGCUGUGAUCUCACACAGGAAGUGGUCCUUCUGGUUUAUGGUCCUUCCAUUGCUUCAUCAGAUACAGUGUGUGGGCUCAGAGCAGCUGUUUGCAGGCAUCUAGCUUGCCCUGGCCUCAUCUAAAGCUCAUUUUCGAAGGAAUCCGUCUGUUUGACACACCGUGGUGUAUCCUUACGGUAACUCCGGCUGCUCAGCCCUGGCAGCCCUUCCUUCACCUCCUCUCUUGGCCGACCUGUGUGCUCCUGGAAACAUUAUGGGGGAAAGAGGGCCCUCUAAUGCCGAGAUUCCACUUGAAAACCACUGUCCUCCUUCAACGGUUCCCAAGGGAGAAGAUGCCUUUAUUGGACAUCAGGGUAGCUCUUAACUCGGAGGCUCACAGCACUCAGGCUGCCAGGAAAACUGCAACUUGACCUCUUGUGUGGGCGCUCCACGAUGAACGAUCAGGCUUGCAAAGUUACCACCUAACCAGGUGCCUCCAGCACCCCAGCCCCAGGUUACCAGUGCAGGAUGUGGCCUCCUUGAGUUGCGUCCAGUGGCGGCUGAGGAGAUGAACCCCUGUCCCCCUUUGGCAGUGGAAAUGCCAAGUGGCUGUGGAAGUUAUUUUAUACAGGUGUGGUCAGCAGCACCCAAACAGGAAUGUCUUCUUGGUAAAGGCUGCCUUAGAAAUGGUCCAGAAAGCAGUGCAGUUUUGUUUCAGAAAGACCAAAGGAAAGCGCCUGACUCACUCAUCCCCAAAAUGGUGGCGGACUGGCUUCUCCCUCAGCGAGACUUGCAAAAUGGAAUCGUUCUGUGGUCUGUUGUUCCAAGUUCCAAAUUGAAAAUAAAAGCCCUAGUUUUUGUAAAGUCUUUUACCCUCCCCUGCCGCGUCCCCUCCCCUCACCCACCCCAUAUUUACAUACUUGUCCUUGGACUAACUCAGUUUUUGCAGGAGUUUUUCUUCCACUUGCCCGAACUGGACACUAACAGACAUUUCAGCUAUGAACUGCUCACAGCCUUCCUUGGUAACUUGCUUGCAGUACCUCAGGUCAAUAUGACAGAUAUUCCCACACCGUUUGAAGAAGGACAGGCACUGGUCAGUGACCUUAUUGCAGUCUGCAGGGAAGAGGACACAAGGUGAGGUGGAGGAAGCGUGGAGCCGAGGGCCCUCCCCAAGCCCCAGGCACUCAGCAACAGAGCAGCAACUGUCCUUGCUGGAAAGCUCUCUUCAAAUGCAGAAUGGUUUCAUCUACCACUUACAGAAGUUUCAUAUAUGCUUGAAAAGCAUCCACACAUUCCAAGUGAAAUUGCUUAGACUCUUACCCCAUGGCCGCCUCUUAUAUGUAUAUAUUCUCACAUCAGUAGGUCCUGUCUAUGUUGUUUUAUAAAGAUAG